rnacentral:rRNA from 1 species
AAUAAGUGCACAUGGUGGAUGCCUUGGCGAUUACAGGCGAUGAAGGACGUAGUAGCUUGCGAUAAGCUGCGGGGAGCUAGCAAACGAGCUUUGAUCCGCAGAUUUCCGAAUGGGGAAACCCGGCCUUUUAGGUCAUUGCAUGCUGAAUACAUAGGCAUGCAAAGCGAACGCGGCGAACUGAAACAUCUAAGUAGCUGCAGGAAAAGAAAUCAACCGAGAUUCCCAAAGUAGUGGCGAGCGAAAUGGGAUGAGCCUGUACGUGAUAGUCGGACUGAUAGCAGAAGCCUCUGGAAAGUGGCGCCAUAGUGGGUGAUAGCCCCGUAUGCGAAAUCAGACCGGUGGUACUAAGCGUACGACAAGUAGGGCGGGACACGAGAAAUCCUGUCUGAACAUGGGGGGACCAUCCUCCAAGGCUAAAUACUCGUAAUCGACCGAUAGUGAACCAGUACCGUGAGGGAAAGGCGAAAAGAACCCCGGGAGGGGAGUGAAAUAGAUCCUGAAACCGUGUGCAUACAAACAGUCGGAGCCUCUUCGUGGGGUGACGGCGUACCUUUUGUAUAAUGGGUCAGCGACUUACAUUCAGUGGCGAGGUUAACCGGAUAGGGGAGCCGUAGAGAAAUCGAGUCCGAACAGGGCGACAGUCGCUGGGUGUAGACCCGAAACCAAGUGAUCUACCCAUGGCCAGGAUGAAGGUGCGGUAACACGCCCUGGAGGUCCGAACCCACUAAUGUUGAAAAAUUAGGGGAUGAGCUGUGGGUAGGGGUGAAAGGCUAAACAAACUUGGAAAUAGCUGGUUCUCUCCGAAAACUAUUUAGGUAGUGCCUCAAGUAUCACCACCGGGGGUAGAGCACUGUUAUGGCUAGGGGGUCAUUGCGACUUACCAAACCAUUGCAAACUCCGAAUACCGGUGAGUGCGAGCUUGGGAGACAGACAUCGGGUGCUAACGUCCGGUGUCAAGAGGGAAACAACCCAGACCGCCAGCUAAGGUCCCAAAGAUUGGCUAAGUGGAAAACGAAGUGGGAAGGCUAAAACAGUCAGGAUGUUGGCUUAGAAGCAGCCACCAUUUAAAGAAAGCGUAAUAGCUCACUGAUCGAGUCGUCCUGCGCGGAAGAUGUAACGGGGCUAAGCCAGUCACCGAAGCUGCGGAUAUGUCUUUGACAUAUGGUAGGAGAGCGUUCUGUAAGCCUGCGAAGGUGUCUUGUAAAGGAUGCUGGAGGUAUCAGAAGUGCGAAUGCUGACAUGAGUAGCGAUAAUGCGGGUGAAAAGCCCGCACGCCGUAAGCCCAAGGUUUCCUGUUCAACGUUCAUCGGAGCAGGGUGAGUCGGCCCCUAAGGCGAGGCAGAGAUGCGUAGCUGAUGGGAAGCAGGUUAAUAUUCCUGCACCGUCGUAUGAUGCGAUGGGGGGACGGAUCGCGGAAGGUUGUCUAGCUGUUGGAAUAGCUAGUUUUUGACUCAUAGAAGGCGCUUAGGCAAAUCCGGGCGCGUAAUUCAAGGGGUUGAGACGAGCGCUCAUGUAGCGCGAAGCAAUCGGAAGUGGUUCCAAGAAAAGCCUCUAAGCUUCAGUCAUACGAGACCGUACCGCAAACCGACACAGGUGGGCGAGAUGAGUAUUCUAAGGCGCUUGAGAGAACUCGGGAGAAGGAACUCGGCAAAUUGGUACCGUAACUUCGGGAUAAGGUACGCCCUAGUAGCUUGAUUGGUUUACUCCAUGAGGGCCAAAGGGUUGCAAUAAAAUGGUGGCUGCGACUGUUUAAUAAAAACACAGCACUCUGCAAACACGAAAGUGGACGUAUAGGGUGUGACGCCUGCCCGGUGCUGGAAGAUUAAAUGAUGGGGUGCAAGCUCUUGAUUGAAGUCCCAGUAAACGGCGGCCGUAACUAUAACGGUCCUAAGGUAGCGAAAUUCCUUGUCGGGUAAGUUCCGACCUGCACGAAUGGCGUAACGACUCCCCUGCUGUCUCAACCACAGGCCCGGUGAAAUUGCACUACGAGUAAAGAUGCUCGUUACGCGCGGCAGGACGAAAAGACCCCGGGACCUUCACUAUAGCUUGGUAUUGGUGUUUGGUUCGGUUUGUGUAGGAUAGGUGGG